GAGCAACAGGCAGGCGUAAGCAGAAGAACAUGCUAGAUGAAGCAGUUGAAAUGGGCCUGCAGUAACCAAAAGGAAGACUGUCAAAAUUUUUUUUCCUUUGAUGCGAAACUGAAACCCCGAUAAACCACCAAAGAAAAAACAAAGUAAUCCAAAAGGAAGAAAACAAACAUAUGAUACACCAAACAAUUGCCAAAAAACGAUUAGAAUGAGCAAUGCUGAGAUCAACAUAAUGUCUUUUGCUUACUGGUUUAUAACAGUGAAAAGAGCUAUUGCUAAUUAUCUGGUUGCCCCAAGUAAAAUUUGUUUUCCUCGGAACAUGUUUUAUAUCAAAACUAACAUGAAUUGUUGGUCAACCAAAUAAUUAAAAAUUACAGAAGCAUGUACAACAACAUCCAAUUUUUUGGCACAAAAAAAAAAGAUAAGUUGGACAAGAGCUCUCUCCUUGCUUCCAUCUUUCAAUGCAGUUUUUGAGCUGCAAAUAGGGUGAUUAAUUGAGCGUUUUUUUGGUUCUUAAAUUUUCUACAAGACUAUCAUCAUUCAAUAGGGAAUUAUAGUGACGUGGUGAAAGGAUCAAUUAAUUUAAAAAUCCGCUACUAAAAGGCCUCAAUUCCAACGCCUUAAUCCUAAAGUCGAAGCAUGACUUUAUUUUAAUAAGCGCAAUAAUAGACAGCUACUAUAGUGGCAAUACAGCGGUAUACAAGUAUGCAUAAUAAAAAAUAGUUUUCAAAGAUGUAUUUUAAAAAAAUUUUGGGAGAACAAUCUGCUUGAUGGAAGGGCAAUUGGGCGGUUUGUUAUUUGGUAUCUUGUUUGGGUUAAGCAGACUGUACAGCAACAACAAUGUAAAGCGGGGAAAAUACAGCGUACGGAAGGCUGAGGAUCAGGCGGAGGCAGUAAUUUGAGGGAGAAUUUGGAGGGGCAGCGCUAAUUUGGGGGCGGGGGGGGGAGACGGAAGCACACUGAUCCAGUAAAAUUAAGAACCAGAAAGCGAGGGUGGGAAGAGCGGAGGGAGGGAUUCGUCCAAAACAGAUGCUGUAAUUGGUGGGAUGUGCAAUCAACAAACAUGGAGGAGAAAAGAAAAGGAAAGGGAAACGGAGAAGGCGAUAAAAGCAGGUGGAAAAAAGAGGAGCAGAGGUUACCUGGCGGAGCGAAAUGGGAAGCAGGGAGAAGGAGCAGCAGCAGGGAAACACCAACGGAAGAACAAUUGACCAGUCGUGGGGAGAGGUAAGGAGAAGCAGCUACAUCGGCCAUCAUUGCAGCAACCCAAUCCGUCAGCAGCCACGGGGAGACAGCAGAAGGAGAAGGCGUGUAAGGGGGCAAAGCGGAACAGUAAAGGCUGGGGGGACGCAGCCGGACAGAGCGAUGGAGCGGGGAAAAAAUAAAAAAAGAGAAGAAGCCAAGACGGGGGGAAAAAGGGAAUUUUUUAACAUAU
rnacentral:lncRNA from 1 species